rnacentral:sRNA from 1 species
CCACCUUCAACCCUACCUACUGACCUCUCUGCUGGCUUGCUCUCUUCCUGCCUACCCCCAGAAUUCCCCUCUCCCUCCCUAGAUCUCACCCCCAGGAUGUUGCGGAGGCUGCUGGAGCGGCCUUGCACGCUGGCCCUGCUUGUGGGCUCCCAGCUGGCUGUCAUGAUGUACCUGUCACUGGGGGGCUUCCGAAGUCUCAGUGCCCUAUUUGGCCGAGAUCAGGGGCCGACAUUUGACUAUUCUCACCCUCGUGAUGUCUACAGUAACCUCAGUCACCUGCCUGGGGCCCCAGGGGGUCCUCCAGCUCCUCAAGGUCUGCCCUACUGUCCAGAACGAUCUCCUCUCUUAGUGGGUCCUGUGUCGGUGUCCUUUAGCCCAGUGCCAUCACUGGCAGAGAUUGUGGAGCGGAAUCCCCGGGUAGAACCAGGGGGCCGGUACCGCCCUGCAGGUUGUGAGCCCCGCUCCCGAACAGCCAUCAUUGUGCCUCAUCGUGCCCGGGAGCACCACCUGCGCCUGCUGCUCUACCACCUGCACCCCUUCUUGCAGCGCCAGCAGCUUGCUUAUGGCAUCUAUGUCAUCCACCAGGCUGGAAAUGGAACAUUUAACAGGGCAAAACUGUUGAACGUUGGGGUGCGAGAGGCCCUGCGUGAUGAAGAGUGGGAUUGCCUGUUCUUGCAUGAUGUGGACCUCUUGCCAGAAAAUGACCACAAUCUGUAUGUGUGUGACCCCCGGGGACCCCGCCAUGUUGCCGUUGCUAUGAACAAGUUUGGAUACAG